AGUGAACGCUGGCGGUAGGCCUAGCACAUGCAAGUCGAACGGCAGCACAGUAAGAGCUUGCUCUUACGGGUGGCGAGUGGCGGACGGGUGAGGAAUACAUCGGAAUCUACUUUUUCGUGGGGGAUAACGUAGGGAAACUUACGCUAAUACCGCAUACGACCUACGGGUGAAAGCAGGGGAUCUUCGGACCUUGCGCGAUUGAAUGAGCCGAUGUCGGAUUAGCUAGUUGGCGGGGUAAAGGCCCACCAAGGCGACGAUCCGUAGCUGGUCUGAGAGGAUGAUCAGCCACACUGGAACUGAGACACGGUCCAGACUCCUACGGGAGGCAGCAGUGGGGAAUAUUGGACAAUGGGCGCAAGCCUGAUCCAGCUAUACCGCGUGGGUGAAGAAGGCCUUCGGGUUGUAAAGCCCUUUUGUUGGGAAAGAAAAGCAGCAGGUUAAUACCCCGCUGUUCUGACGGUACCCAAAGAAUAAGCACCGGCUAACUUCGUG
rnacentral:rRNA from 1 species